rnacentral:rRNA from 1 species
CCUACGGGAGGCAGCAGUGAGGAAUAUUGCACAAUGGGCGAAACCCUGAUGCAGCAAAGCCGCGUGAAGGAAGACGGCUCUCGGGGUGUAAACCUCUGUUUAUAGAGGAGAAAAGUGAGGCAAGUUGACGAGUAAGCAGGUGCUAAAUCAGUACCAGAAGCCGAGGUAAUACGUAGGAGGCAAGCGUUAUCCGGAUUUACUGGGUUUAUAGGGAGCGAAGACGGGAAGGUAAGUCAGUUGUGAGAACUACGGGCUCAACUGUAAGAUUGCAAUUGAUACUGGCAGUCUUGAGUACAGUAGAGGUAGGCGGAAUUCGUGGUGUAGCGGUGAAAUGCGUAGAUAUCAGGAGGAACACCGAUUGCGAAGGCAGCUUACUAAACUGUAACUGACAUUGAUGCUCGAAAGUGUGGGGAUCAAACAGGAUUAGAUACCCCAGUAGUC